rnacentral:rRNA from 1 species
UACGGGGGGGGGCAAGCGUUGUUCGGAAUUACUGGGCGUAAAGGGCUCGUAGGCGGCCAACUAAGUCAGACGUGAAAUCCCCCAGGCUCAACCUGGGAACUGCGUCUGAUACUGGUUGGCUUGAAUCCGGGAGAGGGAUGCAGAAUUCCAGGUGUAGCGGUGAAAUGCGUAGAUAUCUGGAGGAAUACCGGUGGCGAAGGCGGCAUCCUGGACCGGCAUUGACGCUGAGGAGCGAAAGCUAGGGGAGCAAACGGG